AGGCAUCACAUCGAUUAUUAUUGGAACAGGAGUUAUAACGAACCGAUCACAAGGUCUGUACAGCCACGGUAAAUUAUAUGCUCUAUAAAAGUGUAGGCAGACAGUGUACUGAUAUCAUUGACUACAAAAUGAGAUUCUUGGUGCUAUUUUCUGUGCUCUUUGCGCUUCUGUGCACGGCAAUGGGUGACGAUGGCUGGAGCAAAAGAUUUGGCUACUCUGCGAGACACCCACAACUUGCUGCCCACCUCCCAGAGCAAGUUAAUAUACAAGAUUUACUUGAGGCUCUUGUAGCAGCUGCCCGCUUACAUAUACAAUAACAAUUUAAUUGUUUGUUUAACUUCAGCUCACUUUUAAUUAUCUAACGUAUUACUUCAAGUUAUAACAAUCUUCGUUCGAUAAAUUUAAUUGGCGACCAAAUGUCGUGUUACAACGCGAAUAUGCCACGUAUUAAUAUGUAUAUGUUUCAUAAUUAAAACUGAUUAUAUUUUACUUAGAAGUAAUUAAAAUGUGCUCUUGUC